CCCCCCCAAUCUGUAGGUACGCAGCGAUUUCAGUUUUCUUUAUGAAGGAAUACAGAGAUCGAGCCAAAACAAAGAAAAACACGAUUCCCCUUCUCUAUUUCUUAUAGAUCGCACCUUACGAGAGCGCCGCCGGUCGGGAAUGGCGGAAGGUGCGAGAUCGAACCUCGUCGACCCUAAAACUAGAUCAAAAAUGAAAGCUUCCGUACCGAACCAAUUCCUUUAGGCGAUUUACAAGAAGCAAGGGCUUAGAAAAAGAAGCGAGUCCGGAAUAGAGAGGCCUUCACGUCAGGAAAAAGAACAACAAAGCCCGCAUCUUUAAAAAGAAGGGGCUCGCCAAGUCCUCGCUUACCGGUGGGUGCGCUUAUGUGAAAUGAGGAGAAAUUUUGAGAAAAAAAUGAAAUUAGGUAUCUUCGGGACUGAAGAAGCACGAACUUCACCAGGUAUAGAAGUUGAGUGUGGAAGGUGAACGGCGGGAGAUCCAACUCCACCUCACUCAAAAGGUGCCUUGGCCUCAAUGACAAUGAAAAAAGACUUUCUUUUCUAAGGCAGUAAGUGAAGGAAGCAAGAGCUGCUACAGAAAAUAAGUGCGUUCGGAGGAAAGUGCAGCAACAAAAGAAGGCAGACAGCGAGAGAUAGUACAGCGUAAGGGGGAGGGGGAGUUAGCGCGUAACCCCCAGAACCCCGUCAACUCAUUCAAUGAAUCUUCUUUCAUUCACUAUGCGGCUGAAUUCUACUCCGUAUUUACCAGCAAUGGAAUAGGACAGUCAUCCGAAAUGAGACAAUGGAGGCGUUUAACAUCUAUAUGACCAAGAAGGCGAUCUCACGAAUUGGAUUC
rnacentral:lncRNA from 1 species